rnacentral:lncRNA from 1 species
GAAGAAAUGAGAAAUGUAGUUCUUCUUUUGAAUCCCUUGAAAAACUACAGUGACAUAGGGUUUACGUUGCACUUCCUAAGGCUUGGCUGUCAACAAUCUUUAGAAACUGGUUUCAUCCAUCUCCUGUUACCGGGCAGAAAAUUGUGGCUCAGUCAAUCAGUGGCCAGUCUGAGGACAGGUGUCUCGUGUGCUCGCUGUUCGUUCUUUUUCUUCUGGGAUGAAUACCGGUUGGAAAAUUAGCGCAAUUUUACGUAAAAAAAUACCCUAAAGAUUGAUUGUAAACAUCGUUUGACAUGUUUCUACAAACGGUAAUGGAACUUUUGAACUUUUCGUCUAUGGAUUUGCGCCCACGCCUCAUGGCAUUGUAAUAGUGUUCUGGAUGGGCCAACAAAACGGAGGUAUUUGGACAUAAAUGAUGGACUUUGCAGAACAAAUGAACAUUUCUUGUGGAAGUGGGAGUCCUUCCGAGUGCAUUCCGCCGAAGAUCAGCAAAGGACCUGAGCCCUAGGACCAUGCCUCAGGACUACCUGGUAUGAUGACUCCUUGCUGUCCCCAGUCCACCUGGCCGUGCUGCUGCUCCAGUUUCAACUGUUCUGCCUGCGGCUAUGGAACCCUGACCUGUUCACCGGACGUGCUUGUUGCACCCUCGACAACUACUAUGAUUAUUAUUAUUUGACCAUGCUGGUCAUUUAUGAACAUUUUAACAUCUUGACCAUGUUCUGUUAUAAUAUCCACCCGGCACAGCCAGAAGAGGACUGGCCACCCUUCAUAGCCUGGUUCCUCUCUAGGUUUCUUCCUAGGUUUUUGGCCUUUCUAGGGAGUUUUUCCUAGGGAGUUUUUCCUAGCCACUGUGCUUCUUUCACAUGCAUUGCUUGCUGUUUGGGGUUUUAGGCUGGGUUUCUGUACAGCACUUUGAGAUAUCAGCUGAUGUACGAAGGGCUAUAUAAAUAAAUUUGAUUUGAUUUGAUAGCCUUGCUACUGUUAUUUUAUUGUUGCUCUUUAAUUAUUUGCUAUUUUCCUUCUUUCUUUUUUUACUUCAGUUUGUUUUAGUAAGUAAUUUCUUUAACAGUUAUUUUUCUUAAAACUGCAUUGUUGGUUAAGGGCUUGUAAGUAACCAUUUCACUGUAAGGUUUACACCUGUUGUUUUCGGCGCAUUUGACAAAAAAAUUAGGAUUUGAUAUUUUUCUUUCCAAAUCAUGUCCAAUCAAUUGAAUUUACCACAGGUUGACUC